rnacentral:rRNA from 1 species
UACGUAGGGACCAAGCGUUGUUCGGAUUUACUGGGCGUAAAGGGCGCGUAGGCGGUGUUGUAAGUCACUUGUGAAAUCUCCGGGCUUAACUCGGAACGGUCAAGUGAUACUGCAGCACUAGAGUGCGGAAGGGGCAAUCGGAAUUCUUGGUGUAGCGGUGAAAUGCGUAGAUAUCAAGAGGAACACCUGAGGUGAAGACGGGUUGCUGGGCCGACACUGACGCUGAUGCGCGAAAGCCAGGGGAGCAAACGGG